UAUACAUAUAUUAACACUUGAAGUAAUUGUGUAAAUAUUUUCUAAAAAAAUGCAGCUAGUUAUUUUCAAAACACUCAAGAUUUGUCACAAGCCAAGAGAACAUUGUGAGAAAAUUCCUUAUUUAAUGACUCAAUUUCUUUCUUGGUCCUGAAAAAUUUCACUGCCUUAUAUGACCUCCAAUUUAUCUUUUGUUCCUCCUACGACACUACCAUGUGUUUGAUACAUGGACUCCGUGAAGUAGACUGAAAAUACUAAUUUGCCCUUCUAAUCAACGUGAACUAUUUUUCUUCCCAUUUUCCUAUGUUGGUCGGGAGCAUUUGGCCAUGGCGCCAUUCGGACUGCCGGCUCGGGAGCUCCGGCCAUGGCAACCGCGGCUUCCGCGCCGCCGGCCAUGGCGACC
rnacentral:lncRNA from 1 species